rnacentral:rRNA from 1 species
UACGUAGGGUGCGAGCGUUGUCCGGAAUUAUUGGGCGUAAAGGGCUCGUAGGCGGUUUGUCGCGUCGGGAGUGAAAACACCGGGCUUAACUCGGUGCUUGCUUUCGAUACGGGCAGACUAGAGGUAUGCAGGGGAGAACGGAAUUCCUGGUGUAGCGGUGAAAUCCGUAAAUAUACGAAGGAACGCCAAAAGCGAAGGCAGCUCUCUGGGUCCCUACCGACGCUGGGGUGCGAAAGCAUGGGGAGCGAACAGG